GACGAACGCUGGCGGCGUGCUUAACACAUGCAAGUCGAACGAAGUGGCGAACGGGUGAGUAACGCGUAGUCAACCUGCCCUUCAGGGGGGGACAACAGUUGGAACCGACUGCUAAUACCGCAUACUGAUUGACGGGUUUGCGUCUGAUUAGCUAGUUGGAGGGGUAACGGCCCACCAAGGCGAUGAUCAGUAGCCGGUCUGAGAGGAUGAACGACCACACUGGGACUGAGACACGGCCCAGACUCCUACGGGAGGCAGCAGUGGGGAAUCUUCCGCAAUGGGCGAAAGUCUGACGGAGCAACGCCGCGUGAGUGAUGACGGCCUUCGGGUUGUAAAGCUCUGUUAUUAGGGAAGCGGUACCUAAUCAGAAAGCCACGGCUAACUACGUGCCAGCAGCCGCGGUAAUAC
rnacentral:rRNA from 1 species